CUCUAAUACAAUACUCUUGACCACAUUGUUUGGUUUGAUAGUUUAUUUAUUCAUGUCUACUAUCCAAUGUGAUUUGUGUGCUUAUAUGAUUACCUUGAAUGUGAUUUGGAACGCAUUCCUAAAUCUCAUUCAUACUCUGGCCAGAGAUUCUAAAUCAUAUCAUAGAGUAUUCUCCCUCAAACAGUUUGAAGGUUAGAGAUCCCUUGUUGCGCAUUCACUUGCCUCAAUGGCUCAGUGGCUUAACCCCAACGAUGCCGUGGACACUCCAAUGGAAUGACGUUUGACAUAAUCAAAGAUCAAGGACUUAACCACAAGACAACGACGAUGCCUCAGGUCAAAGGACUAUUUUGCAUUAUCCCAACCAUGAGUUCUCAUGUGACAUGAAUAUGAGAACUCUUCGUUGAUCGUGUUCAGUGAACUC
rnacentral:lncRNA from 1 species